UAGGGAAUCUUCCGCAAUGGGCGAAAGCCUGACGGAGCAACGCCGCGUGAGUGAUGAAGGUCUUCGGAUCGUAAAACUCUGUUAUUAGGGAAGAACAAAUGUGUAAGUAACUAGGCACGUCUUGACGGUACCUAAUCAGAAAGCCACGGCUAACUACGUGCCAGCAGCCGCGGUAAUACGUAGGUGGCAAGCGUUAUCCGGAAUUAUUGGGCGUAAAGCGCGCGUAGGCGGUUUUUUAAGUCUGAUGUGAAAGCCCACGGCUCAACCGUGGAGGGUCAUUGGAAACUGGAAAACUUGAGUGCAGAAGAGGAAAGUGGAAUUCCAUGUGUAGCGGUGAAAUGCGCAGAGAUAUGGAGGAACACCAGUGGCGAAGGCGACUUUCUGGUCUGUAACUGACGCUGAUGUGCGAAAGCGUGGGGAUCAAACAGG
rnacentral:rRNA from 1 species